GUAGUUAGCCGGGGCUUCCUCCUUGGGUACCGUCACUUCCUUCGUCCCCAAGGACAGAGGUUUACAAUCCGAAAACCUUCUUCCCUCACGCGGCGUUGCUGGGUCAGGCUUUCGCCCAUUGCCCAAUAUUCCCCACUGCUGCCUCCCGUAGGAGUCUGGACCGUCUCUCAGUUCCAGUGUGGCCGUUCACCCUCUCAGGUCGGCUACCCAUCGUCGCCUUGGUGGGCCGUUACCUCACCAACUAGCUAAUGGGACGCGAACUCACCCCAAACCGGAUUGCUCCUUUUACCUCAUCCCCAUGUGAGGACGUGGUCUUAUGCGGUAUUAGCAGAUGUUUCCAUCUGUUAUCCCCCUGUCUGGGACAGAUUGUUCACGCGUUACUCACCCGUCCGCCGCUCGAACGACAACCGAAGUCAUCGUCCUCGCUCGACUUGCAUGUGUUAAGCACGCCGCCACGCGUCGUCCUCGAGCACGAAUACAACUACUGA
rnacentral:rRNA from 1 species